rnacentral:rRNA from 1 species
GACGAACGCUGGCGGCGUGCUUAACACAUGCAGGUCGAACGCUGAAGCUCAGCUUUUGUUGGGUGGAUGAGUGGCGAACGGGUGAGUAACACGUGAGUAACCUGCCUCCUUCUUUGGGAUAACGCCCGGAAACGGGUGCUAAUACUGGAUAUUCACUGGUCUUCGCCUGGGGGUUGGUGGAAAGGGUUUUUCUGGUGGGGGAUGGGCUCGCGGCCUAUCAGCUUGUUGGUGGGGUGAUGGCCUACCAAGGCUUUGACGGGUAGCCGGCCUGAGAGGGUGACCGGUCACAGUGAGACGGAGCUACGGCCCAGAGUCCGACGGGAGGCAGCAGUGGGGAAUAUUGCACAAUGGGCGCAAGACUGAUGCAGCGACGCCGCGUGAGGGAUGGGGGCCGUCGGGUUGUGAACCUCUUUCGCUAAUGGUCAAGCCGCAACAAUGGUUGUGGUGAGGGUAGUGGGUAAAGAAGCGCCGGCUAACUACGUG